GAUGAACGCUAGCGGCAGGCCUAAUACAUGCAAGUCGAGCGGCAAGUCGAGGAGUAAUCUGAGACCUAGAGCGGCGCACGGGUGCGUAACGCGUAUGCAACCUACCUUAUACUGGGGGAUAGCCCGGAGAAAUCUGGAUUAAUACCCCAUGGUACAUAUUGAGGGCAUCUGAGAUAUGUUAAAGAUUUAUUGGUAUGAGAUGGGCAUGCGUCUGAUUAGCUAGUUGGCGGGGUAACGGCCCACCAAGGCGACGAUCAGUAGGGGUUCUGAGAGGAAGGUCCCCCACACUGGCACUGAGAUACGGGCCAGACUCCUACGGGAGGCAGCAGUAGGGAAUAUUGGGCAAUGGUCGGAGGACUGACCCAGCCAUGCCGCGUGCAGGAAGACGGCCCUCUGGGUUGUAAACUGCUUUUAUCUGGGAAGAAAAAGGCCAUGCGUGGCAAAUUGCCGGUACCAGAUGAAUAAGCACCGGCUAACUCCGUGCCAGCCGCCGCCGUAAGAC
rnacentral:rRNA from 1 species